rnacentral:rRNA from 1 species
UACGUAGGGUGCGAGCGUUAAUCGGAAUUACUGGGCGUAAAGCGUGCGCAGGCGGUAAUGUAAGACAGAUGUGAAAUCCCCGGGCUUAACCUGGGACCUGCAUUUGUGACUGCAUUGCUGGAGUGCGGCAGAGGGGGAUGGAAUUCCGCGUGUAGCAGUGAAAUGCGUAGAUAUGCGGAGGAACACCGAUGGCGAAGGCAAUCCCCUGGGCCUGCACUGACGCUCAUGCACGAAAGCGUGGGGGCAAACAGG